rfam:Picea glauca, whole genome shotgun sequence.
GUGCUCGUAGUUCAGUUCAGUAUAACGUAGGUCUCCAUAACCUGAUGCCAUAGGUUCAAAUCCUAUAGAGUGUG